rnacentral:snRNA from 1 species
CUUAUCUUCCUACUACAAAAUAAGAUAAAGCAAAAUUGGAACAACACAGAGAAGAUUAGGAUAGCCCCUGCACAAGGAUG